AACGCACCUUGCGCUCCUUGGUAUUCCGAGGAGCAUGCCUGUUUGAGUGUCAUUAAAUUCUCAACCUCUCCAUCUUUUUACUGGUUGGUUAGGCUUGGAUGUGGGGGCUGCAGGAUUCUUCUUAAGAAGUCUGCUCUCCUUAAAUAUAUUAGCGGAACUUUUGUGGACCAUCCCUAGUGUGAUAAUUAUCUACGCUAUUGUAUGUGAAACAGCUUGUGAAGUUCAGCUUCUAAUGGUCCAUUAACUUGGACAACUUAUGACUUUUUGACCUCAAAUCAGGUAGGACUACCCGCUGAACUUAA
rnacentral:misc_RNA from 1 species